GGGAUACUGAGUACUCGCGCUGUGAGUGGAACAACAAACAAUGGCUCGCAAAGUACUGGAGAACUGUUUGCUGGAGGGGGUUAGACGUUUAUUCUCAUUAGAUUCAGGACCUCAAAUGAACUAACGUCAUGACGAGAGGCAGACUCCAGACAUCAUAUCGGCUCUUGAUAGGACCUGUCUGGCCCACAAAAGACAAAGGAUAUGGGUGAAGAUUAGAGAGGCGGGGUUGGCAGACCUCAGCUGCUACAGCGUCAGCGUGACCCGGCACAAGAGAAUUCCCUUCAUCUUCUCCGUCUAAAACACUCACCACACAAGCCACUACCUGGUAGAGCCAUCUGUUUUGAUUGGUCAAAAGCUGCACUUUACAGUAAUGUAUCAGUUUAGCUCCACAGAGUGUGAUAGCCAAGGGCAACAGUUAUUUUUGAACUUCAGUCAGUAGAACUUUCUGUGCUCAAAAUCAACUCAGCGGCACCUCUGAAAUGAACCACACGACGACAUUUAAAUUUCCAUGGAUCCUCUGCCAGAGUGAUGAGCCAGCAAACGAUACAGAGGACUACUUCCUGUCUCCACUAGCUUCCUGCAAAUACUCACUCAUAUUGUGACUGCCGUGUGGUUUAAUGCUCAGUAAUGGAGAGAACAUCCCACUGGUGCAGGUUACCAGUUCUCAGUGGCUCUGGGAGGGGAGAAGAACAGAGAUGAUUUACACAGCUCAUCCCUCAGACACCGCCAGCAGUGAGUCACAAAAUCUUUGCUCGUAUGAGUCAGUGGAACAAGGUCGCCGCUCAUCCAGACGAGCGAAUGUGGAAAGCGACCAGGAAGAGAAACAAACAACGGAGCAAGUUGUCCUCCGAUAACUAUCCAUAAAACAUUUUCCAUCUGAACAGGGCGUGUUUAUGUUUAUCUAAGAUAAAAUGGGGGAAGCUUUCAAAGGUUAGAGCGAUGUAGGCAAUGGAGGGCAAUAGUCGGAAAAUCCCAUUCGUUUUCUCUAUAGAGAAAUCGCUUUUUAAUGAUAAUGUACAAACCUUUCAAGAAAGUCAUCCCAUGAAAGAUGGCAUGAAAGCGAAGAUAUAUCCUAGAAGCCAUGAGUCAGUGUGAUUGCAUUAUAUAACAUCAAACAAUAUAAUAUAAUAUGCAAUAAAAAAUGACAAAUUUUUAUUAUAUGAAAUUUUAUUAAACUGCUAUUAUAUAUUAUAUGUCAUGUACUGUAUUCAAAUUAUAUAUAUAUAUAUAUAACUUAAGAUAUAUUACACUGUAUUUUACUUUCUUUUUUAUUCUACUUUAUUGUACCUUAUUAUAUUAAAUCAUAAUACAUCAAAAUGUUAUCCUGUACCACUGAUUAGACUCAAUCAGAUGCAAUGCAUCAAUCAAAGUUUUUUAUCUUUUAAAACUUUUUUUUGUGUGUGUAUGAAAUGCAUAGGAAGAAGAGUAAUGGAAAAAAAUACUUUCAAUGACCAAGGUCACUAAAAAUAUGGGUGAUCACUGUUGUGCUCAGUAUUUUGCCUCGUUUUGAUUAGCAAAAUGAAACCCUUUAUGUGUAAAGGAGCAUUAAACAUAAAAGCUACAACAUAGACGUUAUAUGGAUAUGCUUAUAUGUUUAUGGAUGAUCAAAGUAUCCAAGAAAAGGCAAGCCUUGCACUUGUUUUCUUAUGUGUAAUUAUUGUACUGUCUUCCUUAUUCACAUCAUUAGUCAAAAAAUAUUAAAGUAUAUUCGAAGACUACA